GAAAGUUAUAUUUCAAAAGGAAAAUAUAUGAAAAUAUAAAAUUAUAUGAAAAUAUGUCAUAGAACAUUGCUAACUGUGAUUCCCCAUGUGUCUUAGCAUUUUAGGUGGAAUGGUGAAUCUUGAAGCGAAAGUACCAAACGGUACGAGCACUUUCUGGCCCUAUAGCUUGAGUUGAAGCCUGGGAUAAAGGUCGUUUUUCUUAUGAAGAUCAAAUAACCCAUGGUUUUGGAUGUCAAGUCUGGAAUAGGCAGACCAUUAAGAGAAAUUCCAAGAUUUAGGUUUAAUUCCCGUUUCGCGCUUUCACCUCUCUUCAUAUCUGUGAAUACUGAUGUGUUCGGGUUUAGACAUUCUCAUAUGCAUGAUUAAUGCAACUGAAGUGAUUCAUGUUUUUCUUACUUUGAACUGAAAACCUGUGGGGGCAUGAUUUUGAGGAGGCGAUCCCGAGCACCAAUAAGUUAGAGAAGUUCGACCUCAACCUUUCCAGGAAUUAAUCUAUUUUGGAACGGAGGUCGCCACCAAGAACGGGUAACAUGGAGGCGUGCCUUAGCCUGGAGCCCAGCAAGAAGAUCAUCGGGAGCUUCGGGACAUUUGAGACGGCCGUUCUCCAUGUGGCCAACGCCAGCCAGCUGCAGGCAUUGCGCCGGCCUCGGCAGGAGUCGGUCAAGCCCAAUGGCCAACUUGCAUUUUCACGUCAAGCAUGGCUGAUUAUCAGAGGGCAAGGAAAGAUGGAGUAGCAGAAGCAUUGCUUACGAUGAGUUCAUCGGGUCAAUAGUGCACAUUAACAAGCAUUGCCUGUUGUCCGCCUUCGCCUACUUUGACGAGGACGAUAGCGGGUACAUCACCGUUGACCGCUGGAAGAGGUGUGCUGGGAGUACAACACAAGCUGACCGGCAUCGCGACAUCGCCAGGGAGGUCGGCAAUGACAACAUGCGUUCGUAAUGACUUGAAGAAAGCAUAUGAGAAGCGAGUAUAGGAGCUUUAAUAUUAGAGCAACAGGGGAGGAGCAAAUGAUUGAAGGGCUAUCAGCCGUGUAAAAGAAAGCUGAGGAUAACGUCACCAGGUGGAAAACUAUAUUUGGUUGACAUAAGAACACUAGCAAAGAAGUAUAGACGUUGAUGCAAAUGUAUGGAGCAGGGUAACCAACAGAUCCACACAUUUGGUCAGUGAUGAAUCAGUGCAACCUAUUGUGGGAGGGGAGGAUAUUCGAUCUGAGUAUGUCAGAGAGGAGGAGCAAGACAGAAUUAAUAAGGCAAUAAUUGUUUCCCUUUUAGUUUGGAUCUCUGUUGCUUCAUGAUGAUAUUAUCUAACUGAUGAAAAGGGAACGUUGUACGUGACUGAUGAAAGAGUUGUUUUGCCUCACCAGGCAAGAAACUUUUGACCCAUCCCUGCAAUGUAUUUUCAUAGUGCCCUUGUAUAAGUAAAUGGAAAGAAUUCUGAAUGAUGAAGAGUGUCUUAUUGCAUUAGUUUUUUUAUAUCUGCAGAGUGUGCACAUGACUUUCUUCCCUGCCUUUACUUACUAAUGAAAAAUAAACAGCAAUGCAUGUUAUCUUUACUAAAUAAUAACACUAAGUAGGAAUUCAGAAUAAUAACAUAUUAAUAACAACGGGUAGGAAUUCUGAAUAAAAAUAGUGCAUGAGAAAUAUGGCAUGCACCUUAACAUAGAAAUGUCCUUUUCAAUUGCUCGGAUGUUAAUGUUGCAAAUGUUCUUUUCUUGUUCUCUUAAUAAUGGUUUCAGACAGAGAGUUGCGCCCAUGUUGUAUGCCAACAUUGGUCCUUAGAUUAGUCAAUUUUUGUUGCAGCAUAUGUUCUCUAUAGAUUUUUUUAGAAUGUCUAUGAAGUUUCAUCUGCAAGCUUUUGAUCCAAAUGGCUACAUCCUUAUAAGGCUAUUUCUUGUUUGUAAGAUGAAUAGUCUAUGUCAAGACUCAAGACUCAAGAGAAGCAAGAGUGCAUAGCAGUAGCAGUUGUUCAACCAAGCUAUAGCUCUGCGGUAUGGACUUUCUCUUGCACAGACAAUUGGUUUCAACAAGAUCAUAGUGAACUUGGACAAUCUGCAGGUUAUCAAUACAAUGAACGAGGGAGGCCGAUCACUGCACCCCGUGGCUGCAUUUUUUUGGUGAUUGCUAUCAAUGGCGUGCAAAUUCUAUUUUACUUCAUUUGUGCACUGUCCUAGGGAAGCUAAUAUUGUUGCACAUGGAUUAGCUAAGUUGGCUAAAGGCCCUUCUUGUAACAGUUUCCUUGAUAAGUCUCCUGGGGAGCUCAUCCCUCUCUUGCUAAAUGAUGUAGCAUUGAUCACAAGGUUAUAAAUAUAGAGACAUGUUAUCAAAAAUUAUAAUCGUACACAGUCUCGUUAAAAAACCCGCAAAGGGUGCCUGUAUGAGCUGUAUAUUCAGGAUAGUCUGGUCGAAGGAGGAAUAAAAUGUAAAGUAGUUAAUUAACAAACCAACUCAACAAAUCUCUUGUGGGCUUAAUUAGUAGACCAGACGACCUUCGUGCACCUUACCAGACGGCCUCCAGCUAGUAUGAUAGAUGCAAAGUAUCUACAGUCCAUGCCUGGAAUUGUCGAAUGCGGCAUGGACAGACGAUG